rnacentral:rRNA from 1 species
UGGGGAAUUUUCGCGACAAUGGGCGCAAGCCUGAUCCAGCCAUGCCGCGUGUCUGAAGAAGGCCUUCGGGUUGUAAAGGACUUUUGUCAGGGAAGAAAAGGCUGUUGCUAAUACCGACAGUUGAUGACGGUACCUGAAGAAUAAGCACCGGCUAACUACGUGCCAGCAGCCGCGGUAAUACGUAGGGUGCGAGCGUUAAUCGGAAUUACUGGGCGUAAAGCGAGCGCAGACGGUUACUUAAGCAGGAUGUGAAAUCCCCGGGCUCAACCUGGGAACUGCGUUCUGAACUGGGUGACUAGAGUGUGUCAGAGGGAGGUAGAAUUCCACGUGUAGCAGUGAAAUGCGUAGAGAUGUGGAGGAAUACCGAUGGCGAAGGCAGCCUCCUGGGAUAACACUGACGUUCAUGCUCGAAAGCGUGGGUAGCAAACAGGAUUAGAUACCCUGGUAGUCCACGCCCUAAACGAUGUCAAUUAGCUGUUGGGCAACUUGAUUGCUUAGUAGCGUAGCUAACGCGUGAAAUUGACCGCCUGGGGAGUACGGUCGCAAGAUUA